UGAGAACAUCUUGUUGGUUCUUAGUUAUUAAAGUAUUUGAUCACAUUUUAGAAAUUCUGAUAACUUUGGGCAAGCUGACAGGACAUAGUUUGAGAUGGCGAUAGAACAUAUUGUGAAUUACAGCCUUGGAUACAGAAUAGCAUUGGAACUGAUUUAAUCGAUAAAUUGUUCUGACCCAUUCAGGGCAUUUUGGGGACAGACUCUACAGUUUACUAGUGGCCCCAGGACAUCCUGCAAAAGAGGUGAAAUCAGUAUUGGAGAAGUGGUCUCAUGAAGAUGGGAGCACGACUACUACAAUUGACUGCUGACUUCUCACCCAAGGAAGUAACUGUAUCCCAGCCUAAUCUCAGUGGAUAAGCCCACAGGGUUAAGGAGUAAUCAUCAUGCUCCAUUUCGUUUUUGAGCCAUCUUCAGCCUUUGAGUCCUUAAGCUUUUUGGAGACAGUUUGUGGAGAAGGUCCUCACAACAUUGUGCAACAAGUGUGAAAGAUGUAGUCUCCAUUUACGGCUACUGAAAUAGGCUGAGAGAGGGUGAAGAAACUGAGGCUUGGAGGGUCCGAAUAACUUGCCCAAUAUCACAGAAAAGAUGUUCAAGAAAAAGAACAACUUCAGUGGAAGAAGAAGAAGAUAGGAGCCCA
rnacentral:lncRNA from 10 species